GUAGGUGAACCUGCGGAAGGAUCAUUAUCGUGGGGCUUCGGCCCCGUCGAGAAAGCACCCUUGCCUUUAUGAGUACCUUGGGAUACCCGCCCCCGGAUUUCCGGGGCGUGGGGUUACCAUGUUCAUUUCCUCGGCCGGAUUCCCGGCCAAUGGGGACCACAAAACACCCUGCAACCACCUGUAACUGUCUGAUAAAACAAACAAAAAUCAAAACUUUCAACAACGGAUCUCUUGGUUCUG
rnacentral:misc_RNA from 1 species